rnacentral:rRNA from 1 species
AAUGGGCGAAAGCCUGAUGCAGCAACGCCGCGUGAGCGAAGAAGGCCUUUGGGUCGUAAAGCUCUGUCGGAAGGGAAGAAACAAAUGACGGUACCUUCUGAGGAAGCCCCGGCUAACUACGUGCCAGCAGCCGCGGUAAUACGUAGGGGGCAAGCGUUAUCCGGAAUUAUUGGGCGUAAAGAGUGCGUAGGUGGUCUUGUAAGCGUGGGGUGAAAGGCAGUGGCUUAACCAUUGUAAGCCCUGCGAACUGUGAGACUUGAGUGCAGGAGAGGAAAGCGGAAUUCCUAGUGUAGCGGUGAAAUGCGUAGAUAUUAGGAGGAACACCAGUGGCGAAGGCGGCUUUCUGGACUGUAACUGACACUGAGGCACGAAAGCGUGGGGAGCAA